UUGGAGCAAUCUGCAUUCAUCCUGGAAGCAGAACUCUUGAUAGCAAUGGAACAACAGGAUUUGAACCUAAUAAUAUAUCAAGUUACCUGGAUGAUUCGGUGGAAAGAAUAAAAGAGGUUGCUAUCCGUUGCUUGGUGGUGUGUCUUCGUGAAAAGGAGGAUCUCUUCAAGGAAAACUUAAGAUGGUGAAGUGGAAGUUAGCAAUGAGGUG